AGACGCGGUGGCAAUGUUGUAAUUACGUUAAAAUUUGUUUUAAUUGUAUUUCACUACCGAUUUGAUUUUCACCGGUAGUGGAAUGUUUAUUAAUUAAUUAAUUUGUUCAUUCCUCUUCAUUCAUCCCUUACGCGAAGCCAUGGCUAAAUCGUCCCUAAAAAUCCCAAUUUCAUUGAAUCCCUAAAAAUCCCUAAAAAUCCCAAAUCGCCAUCUUCAUUGAAUCCAAUCAUUCCCAAUAUCUUCAAUCAUUCUCCAAUCUCUUCGUUUUCAUUCGUUUUGAUUCGUUUUCAUUCUCCAAACCCUAGACGUACCAUACAUAUACGCGCAGCAAACACAAUAACCCUAAAUCGUGUUCUUCUUCUUGUUGAAACCCCAAAUCGUGUUCUUCUUCUUCGAUAUGUUCUUCAUUCUUCGUUCUUCUUGAGGAUCGGAAAUUAAAUAACCAUCGACGAAGCACAUCUUGUUCUUCGAGAUGAGAGAGAUCUGCAUCAAUUGAAUCCACGAUUGGAAAUUCUUGUUUCUUUCUAACGGCGACGUAACCAGAACCACCGCCGAAAUUCUUGUUUCCUUUUUAGGGUUUAUGUAAAUUGCGGUUGAAUGAAAUUUUGGGUUUGUUAUGUUUGCGAUUGAACGAAGUUUCGUGCUGAUGCUGAGGAAAUUAAGCAAAGCGAGGAUUGGCCAUGGAACAAUAUGAACACUGUGUUGGGUAAUUGGAUCUUUAUUUGGUUCCAUGAUUGAAGAACAUGUACUGUGAACCUUAUGGUAUGCUUUGCUUUAUAUUCCUAUAUUCAUUCAUGGGUCUUCUUCAACAUUAAGAAUAUGUAGAGCUUUUCUAAUCAGUUGAGGAUGUCUGCAAAAUUCUUGACGACAAAGUAAAGAUCCUAAAUUAAUCAAGAGAGUUGAUAGUUCAUUUUGUUGUUAUUCCAAAUCAGAGUUUGAUAGAGGGAUAUCAAGGUGACAAAGCUUUUCUUGGUCUUGUGUUGGUGUUGGUACAGCUAUCCGCUUUCAUUGAACAGUCUGCCAUUCCACAUAUCAACGAGGAACUAGGAGCUUCUUUUUCUUGUAGUAGUGUUAGAGGUUAUAAACAUGGACUUUUUGUUUCGGAAAGGAUCUCUCAAAAGUUUAGGACUGUCGGUGAAAGUUUCUUGCAUAAGCCACAAGGGACACAAUAUAUUGACAUUAAGGAUGGAAGUAAGCUAUGUUUAGAGUGUCUUGAUUAUCAUGGAUACUGACUAAUGCCAGCCCCUUCAUGUAAUAGUAUAGCAGCAGCAGAAUUACUUGCAUAGAAGGGCUGAUUGGUAUUUUUGUAUCAUGCUCUUUGUUGUUCCGUGGUUUAUUGGUGAUGCGGGCUGAGAUCUCGAGUUGCUAGCUGUGAAUGUCUGCGCUAUCACAAGGUACAUGUUCGGUUGUAAACAUAUGAAGCGAGACCUGCUGCGUAGCGAUCAAUUGACUUCAUGAUUGGAUGGUUAGUAGCUCACAAGCUCUCAGCACAAUUAAUGGUUCAAGAAUUUUCUUAAGAGACCUUAGACUUUCUAAUAUUUAUAUGUAUGUAUCUUGUUACGAUAAGUAAUGUAAUGAAAUUUAUAAAAGAAUCAUAUAUGAAGUAGUUACAUGUGAUUGUUCUUUCUCAAAA